rnacentral:tRNA from 1 species
GUGAGUGUAGCUCAGUGGUAGAGCACAUGCUUAGCAUGCAUGAAGUCCUGGGUUCAAUCCCCAGUACCUCCA